rnacentral:rRNA from 1 species
CAGGGAAUCUUCCGCAAUGGGCGAAAGCCUGACGGAGCAACGCCGCGUGAGUGAUGAAGGUCUUCGGAUCGUAAAACUCUGUUAUUAGGGAAGAACAAAUGUGUAAGUAACUAUGCACGUCUUGACGGUACCUAAUCAGAAAGCCACGGCUAACUACGUGCCAGCAGCCGCGGUAAUACGUAGGUGGCAAGCGUUAUCCGGAAUUAUUGGGCGUAAAGCGCGCGUAGGCGGUUUUUUAAGUCUGAUGUGAAAGCCCACGGCUCAACCGUGGAGGGUCAUUGGAAACUGGAAAACUUGAGUGCAGAAGAGGAAAGUGGAAUUCCAUGUGUAGCGGUGAAAUGCGCAGAGAUAUGGAGGAACACCAGUGGCGAAGGCGACUUUCUGGUCUGUAACUGACGCUGAUGUGCGAAAGCGUGGGGAUCAAACAGG